CCUACGGGAGGCUGCAGUGAGGAAUAUUGGUCAAUGGCCGGAAGGCUGAACCAGCCAAGCCGCGUGAAGGACGAAGGUGCCAAGCAUUGUAAACUUCUUUUGUCAAGGGACAAAAUCAGGCUCGAGAGCCUGACCGAGGGUCCUUGAAGAAAAAGCAUCGGCUAACUCCUUGCCAGCCGCCGCGGUAAUACGGAGGAUGCGAGCGUUAUCCGGAUUUAUUGGGUUUACAGGGUGCGUAGGCGGACUGUUAAGUCAGCGGUAAAAGCCCGGGGCUCAACCCCGGCGAGCCGUUGAAACGGGCUGUCUUGAGAUGUCGAGAGGUAUGCGGAAUGCGCAGUGUAGAGGUGAAAUGCUUAGAUAUUGCGCAGAACUCAGAUUGCGAAGGCAGCAUACCGGCGGCGAUCUGACGCUGAGGCACGAAAGCGUGGGUAUCGAACAGGAUUAGAUACCCCAGUAGUC
rnacentral:rRNA from 1 species